UAAUACGAGGGGUGCUAGCGUUGUCCGGAAUCACUGGGCGUAAAGGGUCCGUAGGCGUUUUGCUAAGUUGAUUGUUAAAUCCAUCGGCUCAACCGAUGACCUGCAAUCAAAACUGGUAGAAUAGAGUUCGAGGGAGGAAAGUAGAAUUCCUGGUGUAGCGGUGACAUGCGUAGAUAUCAGGAGGAACACCAAUGGCGAAGGCAGCUUUCUGGCUCGAUACUGACGCUGAGGGACGAAAGCGUGGGGAGCGAACAGGAUUAGAUACCCUGGUAGUCCACGCCGUAAACGAUGAGUACUUGAUGUCGGGGGAUUCGACCCCUUCGGUGUCGUAGCUAACGCGAUAAGUACUCCGCCUGGGGACUACGACCGCAAGGUUG
rnacentral:rRNA from 1 species